GUUGGAAUGGUGUUAAAAUAUUCCCAGCAGGACAAGGGAGAAAUAACCCUUACAGAUUAUGAUAGUAAACAUAUCUGCAUCAUAUAUCUGACCGAAGUU
rnacentral:ncRNA from 2 species